rnacentral:lncRNA from 1 species
UUAUGGAUUAGAAAUGCUGAAGCAUGCAAUGAGUGUGUGUGGACAGUUUCAAAGCUGAAGCAGUGACCCCACUAGUGGUUUAUUACAGGUUUACUGUGUAUCUUUCUUAUUUCGGACAUGUGAACAUUUUAAUUUCUCGAGUUUUCUAAAGGCUAGACAGUAGCAUAGCUUACUUGACUAGAAGUCUAGAAGUUUAAACUAAGUAAAUGUUUAUAGAUUAUAGUUAAUAAUCAAAUAUCAAACAUUGGACUAUUUAUUUAUGUACGUAAAUGUUCAUCAGCAAUAUACACCUGGUGAAUGCCAUGUUUUCUUGGUUUUUUGGGGGGAUUUUUAGAAAUUGUUUUGGAUGUAAGCUUGUAUCUUUUUAUUUGAGUCGGGCUAUCUUGUAC